rnacentral:rRNA from 1 species
UACGGGGGGGGCAAGCGUUGUCCGGAAUUAUUGGGUGUAAAGGGCGCGUAGGCGGAUUUGUAAGUCAGUGGUGAAAUCUCGGGACUUAACUCCGAGACUGCCUCUGAGACUGCUUUUCUUGAGUGUGGAAGAGGAAAUCGGAAUUCCCGGUGUAGCGGUGAAAUGCGUAGAUAUCGGGAAGAACACCAGUGGCGAAGGCGGAUUUCUGGUCCACAACUGACGCUGAGGCGCGAAAGCGUGGGUAGCAAACAGG